rnacentral:rRNA from 1 species
CAGUCGCCACGGUAAUACGAGGGGGGCAAGCGUUGUUCGGAUUUAUUGGGCGUAAAGGGUGCGUAGGCGGCUUGACAAGUCUUGUGUGAAAUCUAUGGGCUCAACCCAUAGUCUGCACGGGAAACUGUCGGGCUUGAGAAUGGGAGAGGUGAGUGGAAUUUCCGGUGUAGCGGUGAAAUGCGUAGAUACCGGAAGGAACACCUGUGGCGAAAGCGGCUCACUGGACCAUUUCUGACGCUGAUGCACGAAAGCUAGGGGAGCAAACAGGAUUAGAUACCCCCGUAGUCCCUGUCUCUUAUAC